rnacentral:pre_miRNA from 1 species
UGGACAAAUUAUUGUAUUCGAUUGUAUUCACGGCGUGAAAUAGAGGAUUAGACUGUUUUUAAAACAGAAAGUGAAUCAAUUAACAUAAUAGACUCCG